rnacentral:rRNA from 1 species
ACGGAAGGCAGCAGUGGGGAAUAUUGCACAAUGGGGGAAACCCUGAUGCAGCGACGCCGCGUGAGUGAAGAAGUAUUUCGGUAUGUAAAGCUCUAUCAGCAGGGAAGAAAAUGACGGUACCUGACUAAGAAGCCCCGGCUAACUACGUGCCAGCAGCCGCGGUAAUACGUAGGGGGCAAGCGUUAUCCGGAUUUACUGGGUGUAAAGGGAGCGUAGACGGCAAUGCAAGUCUGAAGUGAAAGCCCGCGGCUUAACUGCGGGACUGCUUUGGAAACUGUAUGGCUAGAGUGUCGGAGAGGUGAGUGGAAUUCCCAGUGUAGCGGUGAAAUGCGUAGAUAUUGGGAGGAACACCGGAGGCGAAGGCGGCUCACUGGACGAUUACUGACGUUGAGGCUCGAAAGCGUGGGGAGCAAACAGGAUUAGAUACCCUGGUA